rnacentral:rRNA from 1 species
GAUGAACGCUGGCGGCGUGCCUAAUACAUGCAAAUCGAGCGAACGGACGAGAAGCUUGCUUCCCUGAUGUUAGCGGCGGACGGGUGAGUAACACGUGGAUAACCUACCUAUAAGACUGGGAUAACUUCGGGAAACCGUAGCUAAUACCGGAUAAUAUUUUGAACCGCAUGGUUCAAAAGUGAAAGACGGUCUUGCUGUCACUUAUAGAUGGAUCCGCGCUGCAUUAGCUAGUUGGUAAGGUAACGGCUUACCAAGGCAACGAUGCAUAGCCGACCUGAGAGGGUGAUCGGCCACACUGGAACUGAGGCACGGUCCAGACUCCUACGGGAGGCAGCAGUAGGGAAUCUUCCGCAAUGGGCGAAAGCCUGACGGAGCAACGCCGCGUGAGUGAUGAAGGUCUUCGGAUCGUAAAACUCUGUUAUUAGGGAAGAACAUAUGUGUAAGUAACUGUGCACAUCUUGACGGUACCUAAUCAGAAAGCCACGGCUAACUACGUG